GGACAUUUGACACAGUGGCGUUUGGCAAAGCAGAAAAAGAACACUCAAAAAACCCGACAAUAUUAAUCUGAACGAGAGAGAUGAGUUAUUGUUAUCACAACAAUGCUCGGACCUAUUUUGUUCACAUUAUAUAUGCUUCCGUUAGGCAAUAUCAUAAG